UACGUAGGGUGCAGGCGUUAAUCGGAAUUACUGGGCGUAAAGCGUGCGCAGGCGGCGGCUCAAGUCAGGUGUGAAAUCCCCGGGCUUAACCUGGGAAUUGCGCUUGAAACUAGGCUGCUUGAGUGUGGCAGAGGGGGGUGGAAUUCCACGUGUAGCAGUGAAAUGCGUAGAGAUGUGGAGGAACACCGAUGGCGAAGGCAGCCCCCUGGGCCAAUACUGACGCUCAUGCACGAAAGCGUGGGGAGCAAACAGG
rnacentral:rRNA from 1 species